rnacentral:rRNA from 2 species
CGGGGGCCCGCACAAGCGGUGGAGCAUGUGGUUUAAUUCGACGUAACGCGAAGAACCUUACCAGGGCUUGACAUCUUCUGACUGCUUAAGGAAACUUAAGCCUUCCGGGGAGUUUACUUUCCGGACAGAAAGACAGGUGGUGCAUGGUUGUCGUCAGCUCGUGUCGUGAGAUGUUGGGUUAAGUCCCGCAACGAGCGCAACCCUUGUCUUUAGUUGCCAUCAUUAAGUUGGGCACUCUAAAGAGACUGCCGGUGACAAAUCGGAGGAAGGUGGGGAUGACGUCAAAUCAUCAUGCCCUUUAUGUCCUGGGCUACACACGUGCUACAAUGGUCGGUACAACGAGAAGCAAGUCAGCGAUGGCAAGCAAAUCUCUAAAAGCCGAUCCCAGUUCGGAUUGCAGGCUGCAACUCGCCUGCAUGAAGUCGGAGUUGCUAGUAAUCGCGGAUCAGAAUGCCGCGGUGAAUGCGUUCCCGGGUCUU